GAUGAACGCUGGCGGCGUGCCUAAUACAUGCAAGUCGAGCGAACGGACGAGAAGCUUGCUUCUCUGAUGUUAGCGGCGGACGGGUGAGUAACACGUGGAUAACCUACCUAUAAGACUGGGAUAACUUCGUGAAACCGGAGCUAAUACCGGAUAAUAUUUUGAACCGCAUGGUUCAAAAGUGAAAGACGGUCUUCCUGUCACUUAUAGAUGGAUCCGCGCUGCAUUAGCUAGUUGGUAAGGUAACGGCUUACCAAGGCAACGAUGCAUAGCCGACCUGAGAGGGUGAUCGGCCACACUGGAACUGAGACACGGUCCAGACUCCUACGGGAGGCAGCAGUAGGGAAUCUUCCGCAAUGGGCGAAAGCCUGACGGAGCAACGCCGCGUGAGUGAUGAAGGUCUUCGGAUCGUAAAACUCUGUUAUUAGGGAAGAACAUAUGUGUAAGUAACUGUGCACAUCUUGACGGUACCUAAUCAGAAAGCCACGGCUAACUACGUG
rnacentral:rRNA from 1 species